UGCAUUUUUCACAUUUUUGAAAAGCCCUUCUUGAUUUAAACUAAACGAAUAACAACUUUUGCUCUUAAGAGGAACUAAAAAUUAAGAAGGGUUCUCCAAAGACACUAUCCAAAGAAUCCCUAGAGCAAUGGAAUGCCUUGAAUCGCUUACAUUCAGUGUCUAAGGAUGCCAUAACAUGCUGAGAACUAAUAUAUCAAUCACAAAAGCAUAUAUAAUAAAAGCAUGAGAAUGCAAUAAAAAUGACAACAGGAUUGACUGAACAAGGAAACUUAAAGUCUUUCUUUUCACUAUAUUAUUCUCUAAAUCCUUCCAAGUAAUAAGGAACUC
rnacentral:misc_RNA from 1 species